GCUCCUGCAAUUUUAUGUGCUUCCACCUUAAGGCUUUAUGGUCUGUGACCAAUUUAAACUUAAUACCAAAAAGCCAAUAUUUAAAUCUUUCACACGCAUAGACAAGUGCUAAAGCUUCUUUUUCCGUCUGUGAAUAUCUUCUCUCAUAAUCAGUUAAACUUCGACUCGCAAAGCUUAUAAUUCGCCAUUGUCGAUUCUGUUCUUGUGCUAAAACACAACCUAUGCCUACCGGGCUAGCAUCUGCAACCUAUGCCUACCGGGCUAGCAUCUGCAACUACUCUAGUUCUCGCAUCCGGAUUAUAAAUACCUAGCGUUUCUGCAUCCGUCAGCUUAUCUUUCAGCGUCUGAAAUGCGAUUUUCUGUGGUUCACCCCACACGAAUGGUUCGCUCUUUCGUGUAAGCCUUCUUAAAGGUUCGCUAAUUGUCGCCAUAUUUGGAAUAAACGCUGCGCAAAAAUUGACCAACCCCAGAAAACUUCUGACUUCUUCUGGCGUUUCGGGUUCUCUGAAAUUCUGUACUGACUCAACUUUCGAUCGCAUUAAUCGGUAACCUGACCCGUUUACUAUAAAUCCCAAAAAUUCAAUCUCCUUAACCGCAAAAACGCAUUUAUUUUUAUUAAGCGUCAAGCCCUUCUCUAAGAGUCUAUCAAGUACUUUCUGAAGUUUCCGAUUAUGAUCUUCUAAAUUCUUUCCAUAAACCACAAUAUCGUCUGCACUAUUUAUUACCCUCAAGAUCUCGUAAAAUCUCUUCCAAUGUUUCCUGAAAAAUUUCCGGCGCACAGUUUAAACCGAAAACUAACCUCUUAAGGUGCGAUUUCAUGGGCGUCAGUUGACGCGCGUCAAGACGAUUUUGUGACGUCAUGUUGUUUCUGCGUCGACGCUGAAGAAGUUCAGAUUUUCCAACUUCUAGCGUCAAAGUGUCAUGUCGGUUAUGUCGGUUCGUUCUUCGUUCAAAAAGCGAAAUGGAUUCAUUCGAUGUAAGUAGUAACCAAUUUUUGGUAAAUACAUGUGGUGUUUGCGAAACUAUUGUUAAUGAAACGGAGAUGGCUCAGCACAGUUGUGUGGCAGGAUUUCCAACCAUUUUCAUCAAUAAUGAGUCAAGAUAUUUUUAUCCGCAAUGUGAAAAUGGAGACAUAAUUCGCAAGAGCGCUCUACCAGGAGGCAUGGAAGAAAUUGUUGUUGACCCGAUAACAUUACAACAAGACCCUGAUGAAUCCGUUUCUGAGGCGAUCAACUCUUUUAACCAAUCUAAUAAUAUAGACGAAAGACUGAUUGAAGAAGUGAGAAGGCAUGAGCCACUAUAUAAUUUUCGAUUGCCUCUUACCCAACGUGGUCGAAAACAAACAAAGCAGAUGUGGCAGGAUAUUUCUACUGAAUUAAAUGGAGAAAUAAGCGCUGAUGGUGCUGCGAAGCGUUGGAAAUCAUUGAGAGACACCUUCAUGAAGAUUAUUGCUGAUAAGCGGCAGCCGAGUGGCUCCGGCAGUUUCUCGACGGAAAAAGUGGCGGUUUCAUGACCAAAUGUCUUUUGUUCGCGACACAUUGUUAAAUAAACCAACAAUCUCUAAUGAAAGCCAGCGGCAAUCUUUUUCUGAAGAGGAUGCGUCAAGUAGUUCCCAAACGGAUAAAAGUUCCAGUAGAAAUUUGAAGGACUCCAUCGAGCGAAUGGCUGAAGCAAUUAGUACUCCGUUGCCACCUGUGAAACUUCCACCAAUGCCUCAGGUCACUGAGUUUGACAGCUUUGGUAUAGUCGUGGCACCCAAACUAAAAAACCUUUCAAAAAGAAAAAGC